rnacentral:rRNA from 1 species
GAUGAACGCUGGCGGCGUGCCUAAUACAUGCAAGUCGAGCGAACAGAUAAGGAGCUUGCUCCUUUGACGUUAGCGGCGGACGGGUGAGUAACACGUGGGUAACCUACCUAUAAGACUGGAAUAACUCCGGGAAACCGGGGCUAAUGCCGGAUAAUAUUUAGAACCGCAUGGUUCUAAAGUGAAAGAUGGUUUUGCUAUCACUUAUAGAUGGACCCGCGCCGUAUUAGCUAGUUGGUGGGGUAAUGGCUUACCAAGGCAACGAUACGUAGCCGACCUGAGAGGGUGAUCGGCCACACUGGAACUGAGACACGGUCCAGACUCCUACGGGAGGCAGCAGUAGGGAAUCUUCCGCAAUGGGCGAAAGCCUGACGGAGCAACGCCGCGUGAGUGAUGAAGGUCUUCGGAUCGUAAAACUCUGUUAUUAGGGAAGAACAAAUGUGUAAGUAACUGUGCACGUCUUGACGGUACCUAAUCAGAAAGCCACGGCUAACUACGUGCCAGCAGCC